rnacentral:ncRNA from 1 species
GAUAAAUUUUUUAUAUUUUUUAUAAUUUAUUAUAAAUUUAUUUUACAUGUAAAUUUUAGUAUUAAAUUUUGAUUAUUUUAAUAAUAAUUAAUUAAAUUUUACAGUAAUUAAAAUUAAAAAUUUAAGAAAUUAAGAUUUAGUAAUAUUUAAAUUAAUAACUAAUUUUGUGCCAGCAGUUGCGGUUAAACAAAAAUUAAAUUAAAUUAUUUCAGUAUAUAAUAAAUAAUUAUAGUUAAAUUAAAUAUUAAAUUAUUAAGUGAAAUUUUAAUUUAAUUAAAAAUUAUAAUAAAAUUAUGAUUUAAUAAAUUUUAUUAUAAACUAGGAUUAGAUACCCUAUUAUUAAAAAUUUAAUUAAAAAUACUAAAAUAGUAAAUAAUAUAUUAUUGAAACUUAAAUAAUAUGGCGGUAUUUUAGUUCAUUUAGAGGAAUCUGUCUAAUAAUUGAUAAUCCACGAAUAAAUUUACUUAAUUUAUAAUUUUGUAUAUCAUUGUUAAAAAAAUAUUUUUAAAUAAAAAUAAUAUUUUAAAAUUUAAAAUAAAAUUUAAUUCAGAUCAAGAUGCAGUUUAUAAUUAAGUUUAAGAUGGAUUACAAUAAAUUUAUUUAAACGAAAAGAAUUUUGUAAAAUUUAAUUGAAGGUGGAUUUAAAUGUAAUUUUAAUUAAUUUAUUAAAAUGAUUAAAAAUUGAAAUAUGUACAUAUUGCCCGUCACUUUCAUUUAAAAAUUGAAAUAAGUCGUAACAAAGUAGAGGUACUGGAAAGUGUUUCUAGAAUGAA